rnacentral:lncRNA from 1 species
UCACCCUUCUGGGCCAAGCCACUUCCAUUCUGCUGUCAGAUCCCAUGUGGGCAGAGUGAGCAGGGGAGGGUCCAUUCCCCAUUCUGGGGUUGUUGGUGGGAGACAGUCGCAGGAUUUCCCCUUCAGAAUGGGCUUGCAUUUCCUGUACACACAGCAGUGGCUGGUCAUCCCAGAAGUGGGGCAGGAAGCUGAAGAACAGAGAAGCAAGGUUUCCACCUCACCCUACCAUACACAUGCUUUGGACUUUGGAAUCGAAGUCCAGGGGGCAUCUUAGACCUGCCAGCUUGAGGAUGGACUCAUUCAAGAGGCACAAUGAGGGCACCUGUGCAGGAUGCUCAUGUCCGGAUAAAGAGAACAGCACUCAUGCGAGGUGGGAUGUUACCAAGGUCCCUACAUCUCUUGGUGCUGCCCUUGAGAACCUGACUCAAACCCACAAAGCUUCUCCAACCCCAGUCAAUAGGAGCCCUUCAAUGCCCAGCUUCAAAAAUGGGGAGGUAAUAAAGGUAAGAGGUGGACAGUCCCUUA